rnacentral:rRNA from 1 species
UACGGGGGGAGCAAGCGUUGUUCGGAUUUACUGGGCGUAAAGGGCGGGUAGGCGGCCACCGCAAGUCAGUUGUGAAAUCUCUGAGCUUAACUCAGAACGGCCAAGUGAUACUGCAGUGCUAGAGUGUGGAAGGGGCAAUCGGAAUUCUUGGUGUAGCGGUGAAAUGCGUAGAUAUCAAGAGGAACACCUGAGGUGAAGACGGGUUGCUGGGCCAACACUGACGCUGAGGCGCGAAAGCCAGGGGAGCAAACGGGG